rnacentral:tRNA from 1 species
GGGGAAAUACUUGGUUAACAAGUAAAGAACUUCUAAUUCUUUGGUGUGCAAAUAAUAUUGUGCUUUCCCUU